rnacentral:rRNA from 1 species
UACAGAGGUGGCGAGCGUUAUUCGGAAUUAUUGGGCGUAAAGGGCGCGUAGGCGGCUUGACAAGUCCCGGGUGAAAUCCCACGGCUCAACCGUGGAACUGCUGGGCAUACUGGACAUCUCGAGGCACUCAGGGGCGAGCGGAACAAGUGGUGGAGCGGUGAAAUGCGUAGAUAUCACUUGGAACGCCAAUGGUGAAGACAGCUCGCUGGGGGUGUCCUGACGCUGAGGCGCGAAAGCCAGGGGAGCGAACGGG